AAUCGCGUGCCGCCACGCUCCUUGGACCAAGCCAUUACCGAUCUGCGCGCUCGCCUAGGAUCCCAUCGAAGCUCACCACCACCGAAAAGCCAGGACUCGUGCGCCGGUAACCUCGACCGCGACCGCCGCCGCGGUCCACCAUCCUACACGUCGUUGCUGGCCACCUGGGAACGUCCGACAGUUGUCGCGUGGGCGCUCUUCACCUGGGCGUUGUUGGUGUGAGAUCUGGGGCAGUGGGCGUAAGCCGGAUUGGUCGCCGUGGUGUGCUCAACCUGGCGGAGCUACGCCACACCAUCACUUGUUCGCAUCUUCACAUCGGCGGGGACACAUACCCUAGGAGCUUCGCAAUAUCACACCAAGCGUACCCGUGGCGGUGGCGGGCUCUGACGGUGGAGGUAGAGGACUGGAUUGCUCGCCGGAGUGCAACGAGAGCCUUAGUCCGCCCCACGCCCGGUUCUGCGCGCACGUCGUCGUGAUUUCCGGUAUGAGCCCCUUUCAUAGUUUAGAUUUGAUCCUCGAGUGUUUAGAUGGGUCCUGCGUAGUGAAUCAAGCACCGUAUCAAUGUCUGGGCUG
rnacentral:lncRNA from 7 species